GUUAUUUUAAACAUUUGUUAAUUCGUCUUCCUUUUAAUAGUACAUUUUAUUUGUAAAACCCGUUAGAUAUGAUUACCAGAAUACAGCUAAUACCUGCAUUGUGCAAAUACCAAAUGUAUGUACUGUGUGCAUGGAUGUCCUGACAGGAUGAUGCAACCGCUCCCAAGAGCAGCAGAGUCGGAUCAGUCCCGGAUGAGGAGAACAGCAACGGUUUGAUGGAGCGUGAUGAUGGGGAGAGAAGAGGAGCUGAGGUCAGACCAGGAGCUCAAGCUGAAGACUCAAAGACACAAGCAGAAGAUCCCAGUGAUUCUCAGGUCAGCCAGGGAUGCCAGCAGAGGUCAAAGGUCACAGAGAGCAAAACAAGCACCAGUAAGGUGCAAAAACCGCGACGGACACAGUGUCCUUACGGCAGCUCCUGCUACAGGAAAAAUCCGGUCCACUUUCAAGAGAGCAGUCACCCUGGAGACAGUGACUAUGAGGAAGAAGAGGCAGAGGAUGCUGACGACGACAGGCCUGAGUGUCCGUAUGGUACCCACUGCUACAGGAAGAAUCUGCUUCACAAGAAAGAUUACAAACACACUAAAUCACCACCCAAGACCGCUGCUGUUGAUGAUGAGGGUGAAGAUGAAGAUCACUAUGAAAACAGUUUUAUUAAUGAUGAGAGCGAGGAGGAGGAGGAGGUGGAUGAAGACUCGGACUAUGUGCCCGAAUCAGACGACAGUGGCAAAGAGGACGUUAAACGUCUGCAGAAAGAAGCAAAAGCGUUCCUCAGGAGGAAGAAGUGACUUUUGUUGA
rnacentral:lncRNA from 12 species